AUCCAGCUGACGAGUUUCAAAUAGGACAAAAAACACAUCCUGGAU
rnacentral:hammerhead_ribozyme from 1 species